AUGGCGGCGAAGGCAGCUGUGACCGCCGGCGAUGUGUGUGUGCUGAAGCGGUGCCAGCAGCAUGGCGGUCAAGAUCUGAAGGAGAAGAAGGGAACCAAAAGGAAAGCAGAGGAGGCACCAGAAGGCGACGAAUCUCCACUGGAGGUCUGCUCCAUCAGAAGGAAAACAGCCGGGAUCGACUGCUCUGAGUUGGGGCAGGGAGCCACACCGGCGACGGCGGCGGCAGCCAGGCGCGAGGAGGCUCCGGAGAGAAAGAUGACGAGGCUGCCGCAGGAGGAGGUGGAUUCCAUCCUAACCAAGGAGAUGGAUGACGACUCUCUCCCUCCCGAGUACAAGGCCCUGAAGCGCCACAACCCUGCCCUGAUUCCUUCGCCGGAAGAGGAGAUGGACGAGGACGUGGUGAGCUUCUACAACGUCGUGCGCUUUUUCUACGAGAUUGGAGAGGAUUUCAGGGAAUUCCAGGCCUGGGUCCGCACCGAGUACGCCAAGAAUGGCUACGUCGAGGUGGAUGAUGAGUACCUGCGCCAUCAACAGGAGAUGGAAGCAAUGAACGAAGCAGCACGCAAGGAGGCACUCAAAGCCUUCGAUUUUUCAGACUUGCUCGACUUCUGA
rnacentral:rRNA from 1 species